AAUAGUUGGGGGAAAAAAAGGGAAGGAACAGCAAGAAACACCCCCACUUCUUGAAAUUUACUUAUUUGCGAUAAAAAAUGGACAGACAGAUAGAAACUGCCACUUACAUUUGUUUUCUAAGUUGUCACAUAGUGAGACUCUGAACCAGAAGAGUGAUCAGAGCUCCAGGAUUGGAAGGAAGCCUUAGAAGUCUUCUGGCUAGUGACAGCAGAAGUGCUGGGGCAUUCUCCCUGAGAACUGAAAAGUGGGUACUGCAUCCACACUGGUCAUAUUUUGAGGAUCUGGAAUCUCUUCACUGUUCUCUGCAGAACAGUGCCUAAAGCUUGUCACAUUUCAGAUUCAGAAUUCAUUGCCACAGUGAGCUGCUAUUGCUGCAUGGGUACUCUCCUGCAUUGUCUCAAACUGCCUUGUAAUAAAGCUCUGGAGCGGUAUUUCUCUGGACUUUCCUGGUGGAUGGACAAAAUUCAUCUUCUCCCUAAUAGUCAGCCAGUAAGAACAGGACUCUGUAAAAACAGUGGGACUAUUUAGGUCACCAUGUACCUGUAUUGCACAUGGCCAUAUGUGCUGCAUCAUCUCUCUUUGCAUCUCUCUCUCUCUCUCUACUUCUGCAAUGGAAGGAGAAAAAGGGAGUUUUCACUCCAAAUCUCCUUUAAUAGGUAAGACUGGCUAACAUAAUGCAAAUAUUCAGCUUGAUGUUAAUGGUUAUUUAUGCUUUACAAUCUGAUAUUAAGUUAACUGAACCAGUCUGACUUGGGGAGAUUUCCAGGUGCUUUCCUGUUCCUCUUGCUAUUAAGGCAGGAACAAGGAUCACAUUUCUUGGCCAAUUCAGCACCCGUUCUCUUUCUGAGGGGUGAAUUCUGGGAUGUAGAAUUAUACUGUGCGGACAGCUGUGCUCUCCUAUUCCUCUGUGCAAGUAUUUCCUGGGAUGAGUAUGCCUCCCCCCAGUUAGCUCAUCAUUGUGGCAUGAAAUGAAGCAAGUUUUUGAGCAUUUCCCAGUGCAUGGGUACCAUGAACUGCUUUUCCAGCCUACUUCAGUUCCUCUCCUGUAAACAUAUGAACAAAUGUUUUCAGAAACAUUUUAUAUUAAAGCACAGUUACAUUUUCUUCUGACUAUCCAAAAAACAUAAAAAAUUUAGGCAUCACUUCAUAUGCCAAAUUCCCAAACUCAUGUUUUCUGAUGAUGUCAUUUUUCACUAAGACUUUGCAGAAGACUUGGAAACAUUCAUAGUUUCAAGAGUUAUUUGCAAGUAUUUUGCAGUUUGCAUGAAAUGAGAAUUUCUGCUCCUGUGAAUGUCUAGAAUCUUCUGAUAAGACACAAUGACUGCGUAAUUUUUUUCACCCUUUUUUAAAUAAAAAGAACUCAUGGCAGCCAACAGAAAGAAUAUUAGAUAUGGUAAACUGGAAGUAGUGCCACUUCUUAAACUCCUUGCUCUCCUGUACACAAUAAUAAAAAAACCCCUGCUAUUCACCAACUUUAUUAAUUUAUGAGAAACCUCUUGAGCCAAGAAUUCUUUCUGUGCCAUCAUAUAUCUUUGAAUAAAAUUGCAUCUUGC